GCCCCUAUAGCUCAGCUGGUAGAGCAACUGAUUUGUAAUCAGUAGGUCGGCAGUUCGAAUCUGUCUGGGGGCACCA
rnacentral:tRNA from 1 species